GUUCGCCCCGCGCCACCGGCCCGCGCCCCGCCAUGGAGGACCUGGAUGCCCUGCUCUCUGACCUGGAGACUACCACCUCGCACAUGCCAAGGUCAGGGGCUCCCAAAGAGCGCCCUGCGGAGCCUCUCACCCCUCCCCCAUCCUAUGGCCACCAGCCACAGGUGAGAUCGGAUGUUGGGGACUGGGGCAGCCACUAGGGCCAGGCUCGGCCUGGUCUAUGGGGAUCUCAGCCUCAGUGGGGCAGAGUGCAGGCCUGUCAUCCCACCUGUGCGUCUCCGCUCUGUAGACAGGGUCUGGGGAGUCUUCAGGAGCCUCGGGGGACAAGGACCACCUGUACAGCACGGUAUGCAAGCCUCGGUCCCCAAAGCCUGCAGCCCCGGCGGCCCCUCCAUUCUCCUCUUCCAGCGGUGUCUUGGGUACUGGGCUCUGUGAGCUAGAUCGGUUGCUUCAGGAACUUAAUGCCACUCAGUUCAACAUCACAGAUGAAAUCAUGUCUCAGUUCCCAUCUAGCAAGGUGGCUUCAGGAGAGCAGAAGGAGGACCAGUCUGAAGAUAAGAAAAGACCCAGCCU
rnacentral:sRNA from 1 species